UACAGAGGGUGCAAGCGUUAAUCGGAAUUACUGGGCGUAAAGCGUGCGCAGGCGGCUUUGCAAGACAGAUGUGAAAUCCCCGGGCUCAACCUGGGAACUGCUUUCAAAACUGCCGAGCUAGAGUACGGUAGAGGGGGAUGGAAUUCCGCGUGUAGCAGUGAAAUGCGUAGAUAUGCGGAGGAACACCGAUGGCGAAGGCAGCUCCCUGGACCUGUACUGACGCUCAUGCACGAAAGCGUGGGGAGCAAACAGG
rnacentral:rRNA from 1 species